rnacentral:rRNA from 1 species
AUUGAACGCUGGCGGCAUGCCUUACACAUGCAAGUCGAACGGUAACGGGUCCUUCGGGAUGCAGACGAGUGGCGAACGGGUGAGUAAUAUAUCGGAACGUGCCCAGUAGUGGGGGAUAACUGCUCGAAAGAGCAGCUAAUACCGCCUACGACCUGAGGGGGAAAGGGGGGCGUCGCAAGACCUUGCGCUAUUGGAGCGGCAGAUAUCAGAGUAGCUAGUUGGUGGGGUGAAGGCCUACCAAGGGAACGAUCUGUAGUUGGUCUGAGAGGACGACCAGCCACAAUGGGACUGAGACACGGCCCAGACUCCUACGGGAGGCAGCAGUGGGGAAUUUUGGACAAUGGGCGCAAGCCUGAUCCAGCAAUGCCGCGUGCAGGAAGAAGGCCUUCGGGUUGUAAACUGCUUUUGUCAGGGAAGAAAUCUUCUGGGCUAAUACCCCGGGAGGAUGACGGUACCUGAAGAAUAAGCACCGGCUAACUACGUGCCAGCCGCCGCAGUAA